rnacentral:misc_RNA from 1 species
GAUGAAGAACGUAGCGAAAUGCGAUACGUAAUGUGAAUUGCAGAUUUCAGUGAAUCAUCGAAUCUUUGAACGCACAUUGCGCCCGCCAGUAUUCUGGCGGGCAUGCCUGUUCGAGCGUCAUUUCAACCAUCAAGCGCCUCGCUUGUGUUGGGGCCCUGCGGCUGCCGCAGGCCCCUAAAUCCAGUGGCGGGCUCGUCGUCGUACCGAGUGCAGUAAACAUCCUCGCUCAGGGAACCCGACGGGUGCCGGCCGUGAAACCCCCCUCCUCAAGGUUGACCUCGGAUCAGGUAGGAAUACCCGCUGAACUUAAGCAUAUCAAUAAGCGGAGGA